AGAGUUUGAUCCUGGCUCAGGAUGAACGCUAGCUACAGGCUUAACACAUGCAAGUCGAGGGGAAACGACAUCGAAAGCUUGCUUUUGAUGGUCGUCGACCGGCGCACGGGUGAGUAACGCGUAUCCAACCUGCCCACCACUUGGGGAUAACCUUGCGAAAGUAAGACUAAUACCCAAUGACGUCUCUAGAAGACAUCUGAAAGAGAUUAAAGAUUUAUCGGUGAUGGAUGGGGAUGCGUCUGAUUAGCUUGUUGGCGGGGUAACGGCCCACCAAGGCGACGAUCAGUAGGGGUUCUGAGAGGAAGGCCCCCCACAUUGGAACUGAGACACGGUCCAAACUGCUACGUGAGGCAGCA
rnacentral:rRNA from 1 species